rnacentral:lncRNA from 1 species
GAAUUCACGAAAAACCUAGCUCCUGGUUUUUGGUGGUUUAAACCCCCUCCUGGUUUAAACCCCGAGCUGGGUUUUUCAUUUACGUUUCACGAAAGAGGUUUAAACCCCGAGGGGGUUUAAAUGCGUCAUAAAACGUCAUGAAACGUCAUAUUUUUUAGUCUGCUCUUAGAUGUGGUUUAAACCAUGGUUUAAUUUUACGAGCAUGCGCACUUGAGGAGUUUGUGAAAAAUCCGUGAAGCGAAGAAAAUUUUUCUUGCGGUCCUGGACCUGACAAGUGGUCUUCUUGAUUAGAAUUUCAAUUACAUCGGCAUCAGAGGUACCAUACAGUGUAGGUCUUUAUGGAUUAUCUCCAUCUUCUUCACAGCUUUAAAUUACUAAGAGCUACCUUUCCCAAGACAUUGUGGGCUACAUGAUGCUAAAAAUCCAUUGAAAUCGUACAAGGAUGGGCCAUCUCGAGAUCAGUAUCGACUGUCAAAAGAAACCGUCACCAAUAUGCUGGAAGCCGAAAUGAAGAGGGACACACAGCUCAGAGGAUAGAUCAACUUCCUGUUUAUUUGCAGGUGUUGACAACUCUCCAUUUUUAUGCAGUGGGAUCAUUUUAAAAGAUGCAUGGUGAUGAGGCAGCAAUAUCGCAGUCAUCAAUGUGUCAGAAGCUAAAGCAAGAAGGAAGAGGCAAUACAUGAAGAUUCCUACAAGAGAAGAAGUUGAAGCAACUCGGAGACAGUUCUAUCUAACUGUUAGAUUUCCAGGAGUGAAAGGUGCAAUUGAUGGGACACAUGUCUACAUCAAGAGCCGGGGGGGGGGGGGGGGGAUUGGGCCAUAUGCUUCUUAUAUACCCCUUCCAACUUCAUGUGGAGAGGAAUGCCUAUAACAAUGGCAAAAGCAUUAAGAACAUAGAAACACAGAGUUCAUUUAAAUUUAUGAAGAAUACUUUACU